GACAGCUUUAGGAAAGCAGGAGAAGAAUAAGAAAUUUUGUGCUUUUCUUUAUACAACAGCACUGAAAUAGAAAGGAAACUUGGCAAAAACAUCAGUGAUUCAUGAUUUUGGUUUUGGUGGGCAUCUAUAAUAAAUUUAAAUGUGAAGAAUGAGGAAGAGUGGGCAAACUGUGCUGCUGGAACUGAAUUCCCCGAGCAAGGACAGGUUUCAGUGCCACGUGCACACCGUAAUGCUUUGUGACAGCAACAUAAAUGAUGGUUGAACGCUGAUUUUCCACUUUCAGUCAGCGAAAUGAUCACAUUACAGUUAUUAUAACUAACUCCCAUCAUGAUAUUCUCAUUGUUUGGCACCAUCAGCUGUUGUCCAUUAACGCUUCUAAUGCUGGAUAAUUUGCCAUUUUCCUAAGCAAUCUCUUGAAGUCCUCAACAGUUGCUUACUCAUCAUCUCAUGCUCUAUCUGUUUUGCAGAAAAUUUGGAGGAAAGGGAGCUGUCUCAACCAUGAUGCAGCCCGAUCGCUUCCUCAGCAACCCACUUCACCCAAUCCGAAGAAAAAAAUGGGAACUUGGCUGCUGGUGACGUGCUAAAUUCAGGAGCCUAAGCCCCGUUAUGCUCCUAUGGCGAGCACAAGGGAUUUUCCUUCCAUCUGAUUUCUUCAAGCAACCCGUCCAUGAACUGAGAUUCGAGAGCUAAAAGGCAUGCUCAGCUGUCAGCUUUUAGCCUGGCUCCGUGCACAUGUUGCUCCAACUCUCAAUUAUUUGCUAAUCUAGAAGACCUACGAAGGAGGUGGAUCUGACCUUUGAAAAUAAUCCUCUUAAACGGGACUGUGAAGACGGGAUGUGAACUCGACUUCCUUGACCCGACUUCAUCAGCGAACGCUGAUUCAUUGAAAUUGAAGCGUUUUGCUGAAAAUAGAGCAGUUUCGAUGGAAAUUUCCCUGAUUCCCAGGCAGGAGCCUGGGGGAACUGGCUGCUUUUAGAGCAGCUCUGCUCUCCCUCACUCCAAGACACCCACACCUUGCAGGUAGAUCCUUCCUGAGCAAACCAGCUUCAGUAAGAACUGCCCCUUGAGAUAACCCUUUAAUUUUGCUAACAGCUUUCUCCGUAUGGCCACUGCAUGAUUAUUUUAACACUUUCUCUGUAGAGUCUCACCCCGGAUUCUUCUAACAAACGCCUUGUAACUCGUGUGACCUUUCCUAGCGAUACAUCACCGGUGACUGUAUUAAUGAUAUUUUAUCGGCAGGGAGAGAUUUAGCAUGGCAGGCUGUCUGCAGAAUUUAGUGCAGGGUGCUUUCCGUCCAAGUAAAUGGCAAGACUGGACCCAAAUUAUGCCCACGUACACACAGAAUAUAUGAGAAAUCUUAAAGGCGUUUGGAUUCAUUCAGGGAAGGCGAACCCUGCGCUGAUUAAAGUGCAAUAAAGCAGCAAUUACUGUUGCCA
rnacentral:lncRNA from 1 species